UACGUAGGUGACAAGCGUUGUCCGGAUUUACUGGGCGUAAAGAGCGCGCAGGCGGUCGAUCAAGUCGAGUGUGAAAGCCCCCGGCUCAACUGGGGAGGGUCAUUCGAUACUGAUCGACUCGAAGGCAGGAGAGGGUAGUGGAAUUCCCGGUGUAGCGGUGAAAUGCGCAGAUAUCGGGAGGAACACCGGUGGCGAAGGCGGUUCUCUGGGCCUUACCUGACGCUGAGGAGCGAAAGCGUGGGGAGCGAACAGG
rnacentral:rRNA from 1 species